rnacentral:rRNA from 1 species
GAGGACCAUCUUCCAAGGCUGAAUACUACCUGACGACCGAUAGUGAACCAGUACCAUGAGGGAAAGGCGAAAAGAACCCCGGCUAGGGGAGUGAAAAGAUCCUGAAAUCGUGUGUCUACAAGCCGUAGAAGCGCUAUGCCCUUCGGGGAAUGCGCAACUGCGUACCUUUUGCAUAAUGGGCCUGCGAGUUAUGGUCGGUGGCCAGGUUAAGCCGUUCAGGCGUAGCCGUAGCGAAAGCGAGUCCGAAAUGGGCGCCACAGUCGCCGGACAUAGACCCGAAACCUGGUGAUCUAUCCGUGUCCAGGAUGAAGGGAGGGUAACACCUCCUGGAGGUCCGAACCCACCACAGUUGAAAAUGUGGGGGAUGAGGUGCGGAUAGGAGUGAAAGGCUAAUCAAACUAGGUGAUAGCUGGUUCUCGCCGAAACCUAUUUAGGUAGGUCCUCAGAUAAAUAUCUCUCGGAGGUAGAGCACUAGAUGGGCUAGGGGUCCUACCAGACUACCAAACCCAACGAAACUCCGAAUACCGAGAGACUUAUUCUGGGAGCCAGGCAGUGGGAGCUAAGUUCCAUUGCCGAGAGGGAAAGAGCCCAGAUCGUCAGCUAAGGUCCCUAAAUCCAUGCUAAGUGGCGAAGGAUGUGGGAGCGCUUUGACAACCAGGAGGUUGGCUUAGAAGCAGCCAUCCUUUAAAGAAAGCGUAAUAGCUCACUGGUCAAGCGAGCCUGCGCCAAAAAUGUAACGGGGCUUAAGCAUGGUACCGAAGCUACGGGUUCUAGAAUUUCCUACGGGAAGUUCAGAGCGGUAGGCGAGCAUUCCAAGGGCUGUGAAGUCAGACCGUAAGGACUGGUGGAGCGCUUGGAAGAGAUAAUGCAGGCUUGAGUAGCGAUAAAACGGGUGAAAAACCCGUUCGCCGUAAGCCCAAGGGUUCCUGGGUAAAGUUAAUCUUCCCAGGGUUAGUCGGAUCCUAAGGCGAGGCCGAAAGGCGUAGCUGAUGGCAAGCAGGUUAAUAUUCCUGCACCACUACGGAUGGUUUCCACAGAAGGGACGCAGAAGGGUAGUCGAGCCCCAUAUUGGCUUGUCCGCAAGGACGGGGUUCAAACCUGUAGGCGGUUCUCGUAGGACCCGAUAGGGACAAACGCGAGGACAACGCCGAGAGGUAAUGAGGAGAGCGCUUUGCGCUCACGAACUCGAUAAUCCCAGGCUGCCGAGAAAAUCUUCGGUGGAGUUAACCGCUGUAGUGUCCGUACCGCAAACCGACUCAGGUGGGCGGGAAGAAUAUUCCAAGGCGCUUGAGAGAACCCAUCCUAAGGAACUCGGCAAAAUUCUACCGUAACUUCGGGAGAAGGUAGGCCGGCCUCCGUGACGAGCUCGCGCUCUGAGCGGAGGUUGGUUGCAGAGAAUCGGGGGUAGCGACUGUUUACCAAAAACACAGGACUCUGCUAAGUCGGAAGACGACGUAUAGGGUCUGAUGCCUGCCCGGUGCUGGAAGGUUAAGGGGAGAUGUCAGUCGCAAGACAAAGCAUCGAACCGAAGCCCCAGUAAACGGCGGCCGUAACAAUAACGGUCCUAAGGUAGCGAAAUUCCUUGUCGGGUAAGUUCCGACCUGCACGAAUGGCAUAACGACUUCCCCACUGUCUCGGGAUGGGACUCAGUGAAGUAGCACUAGGGGUGAAGAUACCCUUUACCUGCGGCAAGACGGAAAGACCCCAUGAACCUUUACUGUAACUUGACACUGAUUUUCGGGCUUAACUGCGUAGGAUAGGUGGGAGGCUUUGAUCCCGGGAUUUUGGUCUCGGGGGAGCCAACGGUGAAAUACCACCCUGUUGAUUCUGGAAAUCUAACCUGCACCCGUUAUCCGGGUGGGGGACAAUGUCUGGUGGGCAGUUUGACUGGGGCGGUCGCCUCCAAAAAAGUAACGGAGGCGCGCGAAGGUUCCCUCAGGCUGAUUGGAAACCAGCCGCUGAGUGUAAUGGCACAAGGGAGCUUGACUGCGAGACAAACAAGUCGAGCAGAUGCGAAAGCAGGUCAUAGUGAUCCGGUGGUACCGAAUGGAAGGGCCAUCGCUCA